rnacentral:rRNA from 1 species
GAUGAACGCUGGCGGCGUGCUUAACACAUGCAAGUCGAACGGAAAGGCCCUGCUUUUGUGGGGUGCUCGAGUGGCGAACGGGUGAGUAACACGUGAGUAACCUGCCCUUGACCUUGGGAUAACUUCAGGAAACUGGGGCUAAUACCGGAUAGGAGCUCCUGCUGCAUGGUGGGGGUUGGAAAGUUUCGGCGGUUGGGGAUGGACUCGCGGCUUAUCAGCUUGUUGGUGGGGUAGUGGCUUACCAAGGCUUUGACGGGUAGCCGGCCUGAGAGGGUGACCGGCCACAUUGGGACUGAGAUACGGCCCAGACUCCUACGGGAGGCAGCAGUGGGGAAUAUUGCACAAUGGGCGGAAGCCUGAUGCAGCAACGCCGCGUGCGGGAUGACGGCCUUCGGGUUGUAAACCGCUUUCGCCUGUGACGAAGCGUGAGUGACGGUAAUGGGUAAAGAAGCACCGGCUAACUACGUG